rnacentral:rRNA from 1 species
UACGUAGGGUGCAAGCGUUGCCCGGAUUAUUGGGCGUAAAGGGCGCGUAGGCGGCUCGGAACGUCCGUUGUGAAAUCGCCCGGCUCAACUGGGCGGGGUCAGCGGAUACGGUCGAGCUUGAGCAAGCUAGGGGGCAAUGGAAUUCCCGGUGUAGUGGUGGAAUGCGUAGAUAUCGGGGAGGAACACCAGUGGCGAAGGCGGUUGCCUGGGGCUUUGCUGACGCUGAUGCGCGAAAGCGUGGGGAGGCGAGUCCG